AGUGAACGCUGGCGGUAGGCCUAACACAUGCAAGUCGAACGGCAGCACAGUAAGAGCUUGCUCUUACGGGUGGCGAGUGGCGGACGGGUGAGGAAUACAUCGGAAUCUACUUUUUCGUGGGGGAUAACGUAGGGAAACUUACGCUAAUACCGCAUCCGACCUACGGGUGAAAGCAGGGGAUCUUCGGACCUUGCGCGAUUGAAUGAGCCGAUGUCGGAUUAGCUAGUUGGCGGGGUAAAGGCCCACCAAGGCGACGAUCCGUAGCUGGUCUGAGAGGAUGAUCAGCCACACUAGAACUGAGACACGGUCCAGACUCCUAAGGGAGGCAGCAGUGGGGAAUAUGAGGCAAUGGGCGCAAGCCUGAUCCAGCCAUACCGCGUGGGUGAAGAAGGCCUUCGGGUCGUAAAGCCCUUUUGUUGGGAAAGAAAAGCAGCAGGUUAAUACCCCGCUGUUCUGACGGUACCCAAAGAAUAAGCACCGGCUAACUUCGUG
rnacentral:rRNA from 1 species